GACGAACGCUGGCGGCGUGCCUAACACAUGCAAGUCGAACGGGGUGAAUUGCUUCGGUGAUUCACUUAGUGGCGAACGGGUGAGUAACGCGUGAGGAACCUGCCUUUCAGUGGGGGACAACAGUUGGAAACGACUGCUAAUACCGCAUAACAUAUUCGGACCGCAUGAUCUGAAUAUCAAAGCUUUAUGUGCUGAAAGAUGGCCUCGCGUCUGAUUAGCUAGUUGGUGGGGUAACGGCCCACCAAGGCGACGAUCAGUAGCCGGUCUGAGAGGAUGAACGGCCACAUUGGGACUGAGAUACGGCCCAGACUCCUACGGGAGGCAGCAGUGGGGAAUAUUGGGCAAUGGGGGAAACCCUGACCCAGCAACGCCGCGUGAAGGAGGAAGGCCUUCGGGUUGUAAACUUCUUUUAGCAGGGACGAAGAACGUGACGGUACCUGCAGAAAAAGCAACGGCUAACUACGUG
rnacentral:rRNA from 1 species